rnacentral:rRNA from 1 species
GAUGAACGCUGGCGGCGUGCCUAAUACAUGCAAGUCGAACGCAUUGUGGUUGAAAUGAUAUGAAGAACUUGUUCAGAUUUGAUUUUCAACAUUGCAAUGAGUGGCGAACGGGUGAGUAACACGUGGGAAACCUACCUCUUAGCAGGGGAUAACAUUUGGAAACAAAUGCUAAUACCGUAUAAUAAUUAAAACCGCAUGGUUUUAGUUUAAAAGAUGGUCUUGCUAUCACUAAGAGAUGGUCCCGCGGUGUAUUAGUUAGUUGGUGAGGUAAUGGCUCACCAAGACAAUGAUACAUAGCCGAGUUGAGAGACUGACCGGCCACAAUGGGACUGAGACACGGCCCAUACUCCUACGGGAGCAGCAGUAGGGAAUCUUCCACAAUGGACGAAAGUCUGAUGGAGCAACGCCGCGUGUGUGAUGAAGGUUUCGGCUCGUAAAACACUGUUGUAAGAGAAGAAUGACAUUGAGAGUAACUGUUCAAUGUG